rnacentral:rRNA from 1 species
GACAGAGGGUGCAAACGUUGUUCGGAAUUACUGGGCGUAAAGCGAGUGUAGGCGGUCUCGUAAGUCGGAUGUGAAAGCCCCGGGCUCAACCCGGGAAGUGCACUCGAAACUGCGAGGCUAGAGUAUCGGAGAGGUUGGUGGAAUUCUCGGUGUAGAGGUGAAAUUCGUAGAUAUCGAGAGGAACACCGGUGGCGAAGGCGGCCAACUGGACGAAUACUGACGCUGAGACUCGAAAGCGUGGGGAGCAAACAGG